AUGCUUUCCUGCAUGGCUUCGCUUCAAGAACAACAAAAAAAGGAAAAGAAAAAGAACUGUUAUUUUCUAUGAUCACAACACAUGGUCUAACCUUGGGUGCUAGCCAUACUACACAUUUUUUCGCUCAGAUCGGGAUGCCCUUCACACAUACAAUCCAAUCUAAGGGGACAUGUUACGUAUUCUUUUCCAACUACAAGUAUUUCGAUACAGAGAGAGUACAAGCAUUAAGAGAUACCUCAUACUCAUCAAUUUAUAUCAACACUACCCGUAUGUACGCACAUAUGAGGUAUGGAUAGUUGUCUGAUCAACCAAUUAGACUCGACCACCCUCAUCUUCCUUGAUUUCCUAGUUACAAUUUGCCACAAUUUCUUCAUUGCCAUGGUUGCGUNNNNNNNNNNNNNNNNNNNNNNNNNNNNNNNNNNNNNNNNNNNNNNNNNNNNNNNNNNNNNNNNNNNNNNNNNNNNNNNNNNNNNNNNNNNNNNNNNNNNUUUUAAAGGCAUGUGACAUUGUACUACGAGAGUUAUGCUGCACACACACUAUAUCCCACGAGACUCAAGUUGGGUGCGGCCGACCAACCUGAGGAUCGAGUCUCCUCGUGAACUAGUCCAGAUGUCAAGUGUGUUUCGCCAACGCCGAGGUGUAGGUCGGCAAAAAAGAUGUCGAGUGGCGCGUCAGAAAAGAACUCCUGAGCUAAAUUAUUACGCUGGGGCACCUCAGUCAUGAGGAUGCCCCGCCUACUUAAAAGGAAAUAUAGAACUAGAUUAAUGGUGUCUAAAGCACGAAAACCAAAAGUUACAUUUGAACUAAAUCAAGUUUCUUGGUGGCAAUCCGAAAAUCGGUCUUAAAAUUACUUUGUGCUUCCGUCGUGCUUUAACAUGACACAUCCAAUCUCAAGAUUUCAAGCGGGUCAGCCUUCGGCUUCAACUUCCAUAUCCUAAAGGCGGAGUGUUUCUCCGAGGUCGGCUUAGCGAACUAAACUCGAGCGAAUUUAGAAACUAACCAGGCAAUCCGGCUAUCGACCACACACUCGAGUCGAGAAAGGAGCAGUNNNNNNNNNNNNNNNNNNNNNNNNNNNNNNNNNNNNNNNNNNNNNNNNNNNNNNNNNNNNNNNNNNNNNNNNNNNNNNNNNNNNNNNNNNNNNNNNNNNNCCAAACUGCACGAUAUAGCCACCCUAUUCACUAGUGAGGAAAAGAUCCGCCACUACUAUAUGCUCAAGUUGUUUCCUUUCUCGCUAAAGGAUGAUGCUAAGACCUGGUUCACUUCUCUUGCUCCUGGAUGUGUGCGUAGCCCCCAGGAUAUGGUCCCCUGUUUUUGAUAUGUUCCUAGAGAAAACUAAAGUUGAAAGAUGAUAGUAGCAAUUAUGCGGACUGGGUCCAUAAACUGAGGAUUCCUCAUUGCUGCAUAGAAGGCUUAUGUCCUUAAUGCACCGCUCGGUGUGCUAUCCCAAGGAUUGUUUGUGGAUGUUGCGAUCAUCUCACAUACAUGUUUUUGAUGACUACGUGAUAGUUCAGUGCAUCAUGCUUUAUGGCUUAGAAUUGUGGCGCCCAAGACGUUUUGAAUGUCACGGAAGAUAUGAGAUGUUCCAAGAGCUAAAAUUAGGAUUUCAGGCUCGUGCCCGUGUUGACAGGUAUGAGACCUCCGACAAGAUUCUUUGUCCGCAAAGUAAAGGAGAAAUCUCAAUUGUUGAGUAUGUGCUCAGAUUGUCUGGGUGCUACAAUUACUUGAAUCAAGCGGGAGUUGAUCUUCCAGAUACUAUAGUGAUUGACAUAGUUCCCAAAGUCACUGUCACCAAGCUAGUGAGCUUCGUGAUGAACUAUAACAUACCAGGGAUAGAGAUGAUGAUCCCUGAGCUAUUCACGAUGUUUGACACCGCGAAGGUAGAAAUGAAGUAGGAGAAUCAAGUGUUGAUGGUUAGUAAAACCACUAGUUUCAAGAAGGGCAAAGGGAAUGAAGGGAAACUUCGAGAAUGACAAGUCAAUUAUCACUAAAUGAAGAAACCCAAGGUUGAACCUAAACCCGAGACUAAGUGCUUCUAUGAUGAGGGGAAUGAUCACUAAAGCAGAACUGCCCUGGACACUUGGUAGAUAAGAAGGCUGGCAACAUCAACAAUAGUAUAUUUUAUAUACAUAUUAUUGAUGUGUACUUUACUAGUACUCCUAGUAGCACAUGGGUAUCAUAUACCGGCUUAGUUGCUAAAGGUUAGUAACUCAAAAUAAAAGCUACGGAAUAAACAGAGACUAUCUAAAGACGAGGUGACGAUGUGUGUUGGAAGUGUUUCCAAGGUUUAUGUGAUCACAAUUGCACGCUCCCUCUACCUUUGGGAUUAGUGUUAAAGCUAAAUGUUGAUUGGUGUUUGCGUUGAGCAUGAACAUGAUUGGAUCGUGUUUAGUGCAAUACGGUUAUUCAUUUAAAGAGAAUAAUGGUUACUCUGUUUACUUGAAUAAAACCUUCAAUGGUCAUGCACCUAAUAUGAAUGGUUUAUUGAAUCUCGGUCGUAGUGGUACACAUGUUCAUAAUAUUGAUGCCAAAAAUACAAAGUAGUAAUGAUAGUACCACUUACUUGUGGCACUGCCGCUUGAGUCAUAUUGGUAUAAAAAUGCAUGAAGAAGCUCCAUGCUGAUGGCUCUUUGGACUCACUCGUUUUUUGUUUGAGACAUGCGAACCAUGCCUAUUGGUGUAAACGCAUGAAGAAACUCCAUGCAGAUGGAUCGUUUGGACUCACUUGAUUUUGAAUCACUUGAGACAUGCAAAUAAUGCCACAUGGUCAAGAUGACUGAAGGCCUCAUUUUCCAGUGAGAGGGAACGAGCAAAUGACUUAUUGGAAAUAAUACAUUUUGAUGUAUGCAAUCCAAUGAGUGCUGAGGCACGCAGUGGAUAUUGUUAUGUUCUUACUUCACAAAUGAUUUUAGUAGAUACACGUGUAUUUACUUGAUGAAUCAGAAGUCUGAAUUAUUGAAAAGGUUCAAGCAAAUUCAGAGUGAAGUUGAAGAUCGUCAUGACAAGAGGAUAACAUGUCUAUGAUGUGAUCGUAGAGGUGAAUAUUCGAGUUGCGAGUUUGGUAUUCAUUUAAGACAAUGUGGAAAUUGUUUCACAACUCAUGCCACCUGGAACACCAUAGUGUGAUGGUGCGUCCGAACAUCAUAGCCACGCCCUAUUGGAUAUGGUGCAUACUAUGAUGUCUCUUGAAAAAUUACCACUAUCACUUUGGGGUUAUGCAUUAUAGACAACCACACUCACCUCGUAUAGGGCACCAUUUAAUUCCGUUGAGAUGACACCAUAUGAACUAUGGUUUAGAGAAACCUAAGUUGGCGUUUCACAAAGUUUGGGGCUGCGAUGCUUAUGUCAAAAGGCUUUAGCAUGAUAAGCUCGAACCCAAAGAGGAUAAUUGCAUCUUCAUAGGAUACCCAAAGGAAUCAUUUGGGUAUUCCUCCUAUCUUAGAUCCAAAAGCAAAGUGUUUGUUAAUGAAAACAUAUCCAUUCUCAAGAAAGAGUUUCUCUCAAAAGAAUUGAGUGGGAGGAUGGUGGAACUUGAUGAGGUUGUUGAACCAUCACUUCAAAUAGAGUGUAGCAGGGCGGAGGAAGUUGUCCCUGUGGUGCCUACACUAAAUUGAAGAGGAAACCAAUGACGAUGAUCAUGAAGCUUCAGAUCAAGUUACUUCUAAACCUCGUAGGUCGACAAGGACACACACUACUCCAGAGUGGUACGGUAAUCCUGUCUUGGAGGUCAUGUUGUUGGACAACAAUGAACCUACGAGCUAUGGAGAAGCGAUGGUGGGCCCGAAUUCCGACAAAUGGCUGGAGGGCAUGAAAUGUGAGACAGGAUCCCUGUAUGAAAACAAAGUAUAGACUUUAGAAGAACUACUUGAUGGUCGUAAGACUAUUAAGUACGAAUGGAUCUUUAAAAGGAAGACAAACGAUGAUGGUGAAUGUCACCAUUUAGAAAGCUCGACUUGUUGAAAAGAUGUUUCUGACAAGUUCAAGGAGUUGAUUACGAUGAGACUUUCUCACCCAUGGCGAUGCUAAAAUCUGUUAGAAUUAUGUUAGCAGUUGCUGCAUUUUUCAAUUAUGAAAUCUUUGAGAUGGAUGUCAAAACAUCGUUUCCUCGACGGUUUCCUUGAGGAAAGGUUGUAUUCUAACUUUCUUAUUCCCAUUUUGCACAUUAGAUUUACUACAUGGAAGCUGGCAUUGAUGGAGUGCUUUAAUUUUUGUUUUCAUUUGAGUUGAUGAACAAUGUGGAACUAUAUGUAUGUAUAUAUGGAUGAACAAUGUAAAACUUUGUAUGUUGGUUCUUUCGAUCUAUGUGUUGUGAUUGAUGAACAAAUGGCAUUGAUGAACUUUAUAUGUAUAUUAUACAUGUGUUGUGAACUAUAUAUAAUAUGUGUUGUGAAAUUUACGUAUAUCAUAUAAGUACUGUGAAAUAACAUAAAAUAAACAAAACAGUGACAAUAUGGGCUCUUUGUCGUCUGCCAGCUCAUGGCAAAGGCCUUUGCCAUCAGUUGGUAGAUGGCAAAGGGGACACGUGGAAGAUAGCUGUGCAAACUGGGCAACAGGCGGCUGGCCCAUAUGGUACUUUGCUGUCUGCUGCCCCGGAGAGCAGACAACAAAGGGUUUAACAAAGCAGACGGCAAAGGUUUUUAAAGAGGCAGACGGGGGGGUACUUUGCCGUGUGCUGCCCCGGAAAGCAGACGACAAAGGUUUUAAAGAGGCAUACGACAAAGGUUUUAAAGAGGCAAACGACAAAGCUUUUAAAUAAGGCAGACGGUGUAGGUUUUAACAAAGCAGACAACAAAGAGCUUAAAGAAGGCAAACAACAAAGAACUUAAAGAAGGCAGACGGCAAAUGCUCCGUUAGCCACCUAACGGAGUAGUUACCUGCCGGCUGCCGUCUAAACACCUUUGUCGUGUGCUUGCACCUUUGGCUGAUGGCAAACCCAUUUGUCGUCCGCUUUGCCUAGGCAGAUGGCAAAGAAGGGCAUUUACCGAUGAUAAUAGUCGUAGAAGUUUUGCCGACAGGAGGCUGAUGGCAAAGUCCUUUGCCGAUAGUGGAACACCCCUUUGUCGUCUGCUUUGGCAUACGACAAAGAAGCUGAUUCUUGUAGUGUAUAAUGCUUACAAAGGUAAUUUCAACACUAGACCAUACCCCAGUAAUUCCUCUAACAACUAUGGCAACUCUUAUGGUAAUUCCUAUGGAAAUUCAUAAAAUGAUAAUAAUAGGAUACCUACUGAUCUUGAGGCUACCAUUAAAGAAUUCAUUAGUUCUCAAUAGAUUUUUAAUACUAUGGUAGAGGAAAAGUUGCAUAAAGCUAAUGAUUUGGCUAGGAACAUGGAUAUAGUUGCUCUUGAUGUGGAAACACUUAAAAAUAAAAUUUUCCACCAAAGCAUGAUAUCAACCAGUCCAUUGAAUUCAUCCAAAUAUCUAUCGAUGAGAGUAAGGAGAGGAACGUGAGGUUAAGAGCCAAAUGAGAAUUCUUAGAAAAGGACCUUCCAUCCGGUUUUUAUCGUAAUCAUGAUGAAGAUCAUAAGAUGUUGGUACGUCUCCCAUUGAACCUUUGUUUACUAAUAUGAAAGUAUAUGAUAAAGGGACUGCAUAUGAGUCAACUUUAGCUAGAAGGUGUCCCAUUUGCUUGGAGGGUGAUGAUUCUAAUGUUAAAACUAAAAAAAAGUAGGGUUUUGAGAGGUCAAAACUUUAACUGGUGAUGUGCCCACUAUCUUGGAUUACAAGGACUUUAAUUAUGAUUGUUUCUCUUUCGUAGAAUGCAUUUCCUUCCUGGAAUCCAUUAUUAUCUCACCCAAUGCUUAUUAACAAAAUAAAGCUUUUACUCAACAUAUAGUAGAAGCAAUGAUAAAAGCUUAUGAUGAGAAACUUUUGCUAGAAGUUUCCAUUCCUAGAAAGUUGCAUGAUGAAUGGGAACCUACCAUUAAAAUUAAUCACAAAUAAUAUGAAUGCAAUUCUUUGUGUGACCUAGGUUCUAGUGUUUCAACUAUACCUAAAUCUUUAUGUGAUGUACUUGGUCUCAUCGAUAUACAUGAGUGUUCCCUUAAUCUACAUCUUGUGGAUUCUACUAUCAAGAAACCUUUGGGAAGAAUAAAUGAUGUUCUCAUACUUUCUAAUAGAAAUUAUGUGCUUGUAUAUUUCAUAGUUCUUGACAUUGAAUGUAACCCAUCUUGCCCAAUAAUACUUUGGAGACCUUUCUUACAAAGUAUAUGUGCAAUUAUUGAUAUGAAAGAGGAAAACAUAAGGUUCCAAUUUCCAUUAAAGAAAGGGAUGGAACACUUCCCUAGUAAGAUAAUUAAACCACCUUAUGAAUCUAUCAUUAGAGCUACUUAUGGGUGGAUUGUGAAGGAUAACAACACUUGAUACUAUGCAAAAUGCCUAGCUAGGGGCGUAAAACAAUAACGCUUGUUGAGAGGCAACCCAAUAGUUAUCUUAUUUGAUUGCUUUUAAUUUCUGUUUGUUUUUUAUAACAUGAUUAUGGCUACUGUAAUUAUUGUAUUUGUAUGUUUAAAUUAGUUUUUGUGCCAAGUAAAGCCUUUGGGGUGACUUGCAUAAAAAGUAGAAUUGAUACGGUGCAAAAAUAGAAACUCCAGCGUCCGGUGCAGAAUUUCUCUGAUUUUACUCGAAUGUCUUCCUGAUCUGGAGUUUCUACACAAUAUAUCUAUACAAAUUCCCGAGGUCUUCCUAAUUUUCAGCAUUAUUGGAGUUAUAGAAGUAGGAUGUCUUUGCUGAUCACUACACACUGUUAUCGGUGUCAAAACCGGCGGAUCUCGAGUAGGCGGUCCGAACUGUGGAUCUUGGAUCGAUGGGUAACAAGGGAUGAAGGAGAUGAUGUUUUACCCAGGUUCAGGCCCUCUUGAUGGAGGUAAAACCCUACGUCCUCCUCUUGUUUAUAUUGAUGAUGGAGUAUCGAGUACAGAGUUGAUCUACCUCGAGAUCUUAUGUUGUGGUCUAAACCCUAAUGUUGUAGAUGUUAUGUCUAAUGAAUAUCUAUCAACUAGCCUGGCCUCGGCGUAUAUAACACACCAUAGGCCUAUGACAACAAGAGUCCUAGUCGGCUACGUCGGUGGAGAGGAGUCCUUGUCUUGAUCCCCAAGUCUUGUGGAAUCUUCCUCGUAUAUGUCAUCGGCUGCCCGAAGUAGCCCAAGAGUCCGACCCGUAAAGAUAGGCCGGCGGCCUGAGGACCCCUUAGUCCUAGACUCCCUCAGUUGCCCCCGAACUGGCCGCCAAUGUUGUAGUCUUGAUCCUUAGUGUCAUGCAUCCAAAGUCUUUGCCUUGCGGGGCGAGUUCUUCUCCCAUUUAUGUUCGGCCAACACCACUUCGGCCGUCGAUGACAUCCUAAUUUCCAAGAAUAGGUCUUGAAGUUGGGCAUGCUCCUUGGUUCUUCCGAACUGUUCUCCAUCUUCAAUCGUCAGUCUUGAAAACCAUUUCAACAAAUCUUCCCAUCACUUAUCUCCAGGAUCGUUAGGGUGAAUCUAAAAAGUUAUCACGUCGGGCAUCCGAGAAGCCCCUUUAAGAUAUCCUCCUUUAUUAAUGUCUUGUAAUUUUUCACGCCGCACCUCGGGCUUUAAAUGCUUCCCGUGCGGCGGUAUCCUCUUGCAUACGAGUUCCAAUGCUGAACUGCAUUUGAGGUGUCCUCUUGCGUCCGAGUUCCAACGUCGGACUGCAUUUGAGGUGUCUUUUUGUAGCCGAGCUCCAACGCUGGUCGGCAUCCAAGGUGGCAUAUAUUACCUCGGUCUGUUGAAAUUUGAAGGAAUUCAUCACAACUUAAAUGCGAGAAUAGUCUUUUAUGGAGCGAGCCAUUCACAUCUGAACUAUAUGCCAGACUGCUUCCGAGGUGGUGCACCACCUCAGCCUAGGGCUGAUUGUUUUGUGGAUAUAUAGCCAGUAAGCCUCAAGGUGCGUGUCGGUCUAAAAACUGAGAUGCACCUAAAGAAAAAAAAUCGCUGAUCCCAAUAGCCCCUGAGACUCAGGUCGAUUCGCGAAAUCGGCCUGAGGAUCAAUUCCUUGCUCAGAAACAAACUUUAGGAAUUAAAAUGCAGUGUGUAGUAGCCCCCGAGACUCAGGUUGGGCGCGGCCGACCAACCUGUGGAUCAAAUCUUCUAGGAAACCGUAUUGCACUUGUUGUGUGUGUUUUGACAGUGCCAAGGUCCAGGUCGGCAGGGAAGAUGCCGAACCGCGGGUCGAAAAAGAUUUUUCAUUUGGUGUAAUUUAUUCUCGGACGAGCUGUAUAACCAGUUGCCCCAGAGACUUGGGUUGGGCAACAUGGCCGACCCUAGGAUCGUAUCUCCUCGAGAACUAUUUCAUCCAUUAAGUAUGUUUUGACAACACCAAGGUGGAGCUCAGCAGGGAAGAUGCCAAACUGUAGGUCGAGAAAAAUUCUCCGAGAAGAAUCACCAUGCAGAACACCUCGAACAAGAGGAUGUCCCACCUCCUGAAAGAAAAAACAUAUAAAUAGGGUAAUGGUGCCAUAAGAUCGGCAAUACCAAAAAAACUUUAGCAAAAAUAUUACGUUCCAAAACUAAAUCAAGUUUCUUUCAGGUGUGCAGUAGCCUCCGAGACUCACGUUGGUUGCGGCCGACCAACCUGAGGAUUGAAUCUUCUCAGAAACUGUAUUCCACUUUGAAUUUGUUGCAUUGAAUAAACAAUGCAGUAGCCCCCGACCCUUAAUUUGGGCACGUGUGAUUGAAUUAUGGAUUGAUAUUUGUUUAACACAAAAUUCGUUACGUCUCACAUUAUUUAUGUGUAAUGAUUUUAUGUAUCCAAGUACUUUACAUCAUUAAUGCUCGAAUACGCAUUGUACAACACUUUGUUGACCGACCAUCUCCUUCGACCUCCUCGGCCAGUAGCGGAGGAGUGUUUGUCCAACUUUAUAAAGCAUUUAUAAAGGCAAAGAUUUAUGGCAAACAAGGCAAUCCGGCCAUACGGUUUUAUAAACAAAGGUGCGUGGAGAGAUUACUUAUUUAACGCAAAAAAACAUUUUCUUGAAAAAAUAGUUCAUUUAUAAGUUCCUUUUCCGAGGAUAUCAUGUUUGACCAUGAUCUUGAAACCUCAAUUCCGAUCAAUGUGGGAGGAAAAUAUUGAGGAUUUAGUUCGGGGAAUGUUCCCGAACUCUGUGGUCUUUAAUGAACCAAAAAAUUCACUUUCGUCAUUGCCGACCAAUUAUAUUCUUAAGAUGGCCAGCUUUCGUCUUCACCCAGUCUGAGGUACUAACUCGGAUGAACCGAAAGUAACAAUCACAGAGGUGCUCCCUUUACCCCCUGGCCGAACAAUCGGGAACGUAGGGGGUAAUCACAUGAGCCAUGCAACCCAGCUUGUCCAAAAUCUUAAGUCAAAUUGAUGCAUAUUUAUGGCUUUAUAAUGAUGAUUAUGGAAGGCGACACUCUCAUAUUGAAUACAAAUGCUUUUAUGAUAUAUGUUAUUUAGACUCCAUUGCAACUGUUUAUAAUGUAAAAGUGGCCCAUCAUCGGCUUUCACCCCUUUGUAGAUACUAUGCACGGUGUUUCCGUACUAACCAGACAACCCUUAUCCGACGUCUCAAUGCUCGGAGGUGGUUGUGUUAGCGGAAACGAGGCAAUCAGAUAUCUAGGCUUUAUAACUUUCACUUAGUCAUAGGAGCUUAAAGUUUGGGAGGCCAGUUACUAGCCCCUCGUUAGUGUUCGGCAUCAGCCGAGGUCAAGCCAAUAACUCUCUGACCAAAUUUAUGAAAGGCCCACAGGGUAAGCUCUAUCGGCCUAUAGGUUGACAUUGUCAUCGGAUCGCUCACUAGUUUGCGCCCCUUGUGACAAUCAGUUUUUGGCUUUAUCCACUAAGCUACUUGACAAGUUAAAUUGGAAGUACAAUCACAAUGGUUCUCCCUUUGCACACCUAGCCGAACAAAGCGGAAUAUAGGAGGCAAUCACAGGAGUCGGGCAACCCAACUAUUGACCGAAGACACAAUGCAUAUAAAGCAAUAUCUGAGAAUGUUUUGUCAAGGACUCCUCGGAGUAUCUUGGCUUUUGGUGGGUUCGGCUCGAGUUGCAGUCCCCCAUUUAUAUUGUCGAUAUUUUAAAGGCAUGUGACAUUGUACUACGAGAGUUAUGCUGCACACACACUAUAUCCCACGAGACUCAAGUUGGGUGCGGCCGACCAACCUGAGGAUCGAGUCUCCUCGUGAACUAGUCCAGAUGUCAAGUGUGUUUCGCCAACGCCGAGGUGUAGGUCGGCAAAAAAGAUGUCGAGUGGCGCGUCAGAAAAGAACUCCUGAGCUAAAUUAUUACGCUGGGCACCUCAGUCAUGAGGAUGCCCCGCCUCUUAAAAGGAAAAUAUAGAACUAGAUUAAUGGUGUCUAAAGCACGAAAAACCAAAAAAAGUUACAUUUGAACUAAAUCAAGUUUCUUGGUGGCAAUCCGAAAAUCGGUCUUAAAAUUACUUUGUGCUUCCGUCGUGCUUUAACAUGACACAUCCAAUCUCAAGAUUUCAAGCGGGUCAGCCUUCGGCUUCAACUUCCAUAUCCUAAAGGCGGAGUGUUUCUCCGAGGUCGGCUUAGCGAACUAAACUCGAGCGAAUUUAGAAACUAACCAGGCAAUCCGGCUAUCGACCACACACUCGAGUCGAGAAAGGAGCAGUAGAAAAAGACUUUGCAACGACCAAGAAGAAAACAUUUAUUACAAAACGACUCAUAUAAAUUUUGAAGAGCCCCCGGUAACAUGGGCAAAGAAAGUGUUUUUAGCAAACAAUGCUCUUAACAAGCUAAGUUUUUAACAAACAACUUAUUUGCUUAACACAAAUAUAAUGGUUGGUUGAAUCAUAUAUAAAUUAAAAAUUGAAAAAAGUUGAGCAUGCAAGCGACUUAGCUGGUUAAUGUGCUCGGUGUUGAUGACGAUGGCCGAGCUUGUGGCGAGUCAAGGUCACAUCCCCCAAGCCGGUCACGAGGUAGCCGACGAAGAGCUCAGCAUGACGAAGUGGCAACAAAACACUUCGGAAGGGCCAAGGUGAAACCCGCGGUCCAGCCGAGGACAUGGAGUAGGACGGCAAUGUAACAGUGAACCCCCAUGUCAGUCGACCAUGUCGAUGAUUGAUAACCCACAAGUAUAGGGGAUCGCAAUAGUUUUCGAGGGUAGAGUAUUCAACCCAAAUUUAUUGAUUCGACUCAAGGGGAAGCGAAAUAAUAUUCUCAAGUAUUAGCAGUUGAGUUGUCAAUUCAACCACACCUGAAAGAUUUAGUAUCUGCAGCAAAGUAUCAGUAGCAAAGUAGUAUGAUAGUAGCAGUAGCAGUGACAGUAGUAGCGGCAAAGUAACGUAGCAAGGACCAGUAGGAAAAACUCGUAGGCAUUGAAUCGGUGAUGGAUGAUUAUGUCGGAUGCUAUUCAUCAUGUAACAGUUAUAACACGGAGAGAUAAGUAACUAGCUCCAGUUCGUCAAUCUAAUGUAGGCAUGUACUCCGUAUGUAGUCAUACAUGCUUAGGGAAAAGAACUCGCAUGACAUCUAUUGUCCAUCCCUCCCGUGGCAGCGGGGUCCUAAUGGAAACUAAGGGAUAUUAAGGUUCUCCUUUUAAUAAAGAACCGGACCAACGCAUUAACACUUGGUGAAUACAUGAACUCCGCAUACUAUGGUCAUCUCCGGGAAUGGUUCCGGCUAUUGUGACUCCGGGGUUGCCGGGUCAUAACACAUAGUAGGUGACUACAACUUGCAAGAUAGGAUCUAAAACACACAUAGAUUGGCGACAACAUAAUAGGUUCAGAUCUGAAAUCAUGGCACUCGGGCCCUAGUGACAAGCAUUAAGCAUGGCAAAGUAGUAGCAACAUCAAUCUCAGAACAUAGUGGAUACUAGGGAUCAAUCCCCGUCAAAACUAACUCGAUUACAUGAUAGAUCUCAUCCAGCCCAUCACCGUUCAGCAAGCCUACGAUGAGAUUACUCACGAACGGUGAAGAGCAUCAUGGAAUUGGCGAUGAAGGAAGGUUGAUGAUGAUGAUGACGAUGAUCUCCCCUCUCCGGAGCCCAAAACGAACUCUAGAUAUGCCCUCCACAUGAAGAACAGGAGGUGGCGGCGCCUCCGUAUCGUAAAACGCGAUGAACUCUUCUCCUUGAUUUUUUUCCGGACGAAAGAGGUUAUAUAGAGCUGGAAUUGGGGGCGGCGGAGCUCCGAGGCUUCAGAAGCCUGCCAGGCCCGACCAGGGGGCGGGCCUGUUGGGCUUGUGAGCUCCUGGCUCCGUCGCUCCAGUUGAUUCUUGCGCCGGUAUUUUUUAUAUAUUCCACAAAAAAUUCCUCGUAGAUUUCCAGGUCAUUUCGAGAACUUUUUUUACUGCGCAAAAACAUCAUCAUGGCAAUUCUGCUGAAAACGGCGUCAGUCCAGGUUAGUUCCACUCAAAUCAUGCAAAUUAGAGACCAAAACAAGGGCAAAAGAGUUUGGAAAAGUAGAUACGACGGAGACGUAUCAAUGAUGCAAUUCGGUUGAAGGGGCAUGACGACGACGUCGGCGCGCCGAGGUGACUAUCUAACAUGAUCGGAGAUGAUCACCUGUGCACAUAAAAUAGUGCAAGCCAAAAGUAAUAUCAAAUAAUAAUAAAAAUCCUCUACUUAAUGAAUUUAAGUGAAGUAAAUAUUUUAAAAAAAUAUAGCCUGAGCAUCGAGGUGCCCUAGCGAAGAGAUCGGCUUGAUGAAGUCGCAAUGCGGCACGAUCGAUGUGGCAAGGUGAAGCCCUCCAAUCUAGCUGAGGUGAUGAAGAUGGUCGGCUGGUGACGCCCAAGUCCUUGGAGCAGGUUGAUGAAGAGAUGGCAAAGCCCCCGGUCUAGCCAAGGUGACAAAAUAUAUCGGUAUGGUGACUUAGAUCCCCCAUGCGAGUCAAUGGGUCAAAGCAGGUCAGCGUGUUAAAAUGUCGUCUUGAAGAAGCGACGGCACGACGAUACCUAUACAGGUCAGAAUUUAUGACGCGGUCAAUGCUGGCUUGAUGAAGCAGCGGUACGCCCGACCCGUGCAACCCAUGGGGUGGCGAGGUUCUCUUAAUGAGUAUUUGGCACUCUCCAUGCCGAAAUCUUGGUUGGCUCACCGAGGUGAUGAUCCGAUAAGGUUGACCUCGGCUCAACCUACCGAUGAUUUGUCUAGCACAAGUCGACAGCCGUGGAGCAGCGUUAUCGAGCUCGUUUGACACCAACGCAAUGGUGAAAAUAGGCUUGGAAAAAGGCUUAAAAUUUAUGUUCAGGUGUUUUGAAACAACACAUAAUAUAUUUAAAAAAAUACUUCAAAAAGGAUGUCCAAAAUCCCAUUCAUGGAGAAGAUGAACUCGGGUUGGGUUCGUUUUCGCGAAGAAAACAGGUCCAAAAUUCAUUGUACUCAUCGAAAGUUUUCCGGAGUUUGGACGGUUGGAUCAAGCUGCAAUUUUGAGGGGUGAUUGAUAUAGGAAUUGUGAGCCGAUGAACGGUGGGAUUUUCCAAAGGACGUUCGAGCUGGAUAAUGGACCCCUCGUCCUAAACUCAUUCUGAUUUAUGUCCAGAUACGAUAGGGCUCCGGUAUAUCGGAGAUUCCUUCAUCGGAAAGCGAAGAAAUUUUGCGGGGUUGUUGUAGAUAUAAUUCCGCAAAGUUCCACUAAAGCAAUCGUUGAAGCGACGCUCAAGGAAGCGGGGACAGCGAACACAGAUUCGCUAUCUAGAAAAAAAUUGCAAUCAAUCUGCCCACGAACCAUCAAUCCUUCUGUCGAUCACACCGUAGAGCUCUCAGUGAAAGCACCAAUGUCGAUGUCAAAACUGACGAAUCUCAAGUAGGGGGUCUGAACUGUGGAUCUUUGAUCGAUGGGUAACAAGGGACGAAGGAGACGUUGUUUUACCUAGGUUUGGGCCCUCUUGAUGGAGGUAAAACUGUACGCCCUGUUCUUGUUUAUGUUGAUGAUAGAGUAUCGAGUACAGAGUUAAUCUACCUCGAGAUCAUAUGUUGCUGCCUUUUGUGCAAGUCGGUACCAUUGAGUUUAUGAUCCUCUCAUUCUUAGAGGAAGCACCCAGAACACACACUUCAUUGCCAAAACCAUUUUUCUGAGAGAGAGUCACCUACUCAUGUGUUGAGAUCAAGAUAUUCCAAUCCAUCCAUUUGAAACUUGAUCUCUAGCCUCCCCAAGUUGCUUUCCACCAAAUCAAUCUCUCCUACCCAUGUCUAUUCUAGUGUUGAGGAGACUGUCUUUAGAAGCACAAGAGCAAGAGUCCAUUGUUCUACCACAUCUAUUACCUUUUUGGAGGGUGGUGCCUUCUAGAUUGGUUAGGUGUCGCUUGGAAGCCUCCUACUUCGUGUUGUGGAGUUGAACCAAGAUGUAUGUAAGGGCAAGGAGAUCACCUACUUCGUGAAGAUCUACCGUGAGUGAGGCUAGUCCUUCGUGGACGGAAGUCGUGGUAUAAUAGACAAGGUCGCUGAUGACCCACAAGUAUAGGGGAUCAAUCGUAGUCCUUUCGAUAAGUAAGAGUGUCGAACCCAACGAGGAGCAGAAGGCUCUGAUAAAUGGUUUUCAGCAAGGUAAUAACUGCAAGCACUGAAAGUAGCGGUAACAAGUGAUGGUGUAGUGAGGUGAAACGUAGCAGGUGAAAAGUAACAAGUAACAAGUAAUAGCAACACUGCAACAAAGUGGCCCAAUCCCUUUUGUAGCAAGGGACAAGCCUGAACAAAGUCUUAUAGGAGGAAAAACGCUCCCGAGGACACACAGGAAUUUCUGUCAUGCUAGUUUCAUCAUGUUCAUAUGAUUCACGUUCGUUACUUUGAUAGUUUGAUAUGUGGGUGUACCGACGCUUGGGUACUGCCCUUACUUGGACAAGCAUCCCACUUAUGAUUAACCCCUCUCGCAAGCACCCACAACUACGAAAGAACAAUUAAGACAACGUCUAACCAUAGCAUUAAACUAGUGGAUCCAAAUCAGCCCCUUACGAAGCAACGCAUAGACUGGGGUUUAAGCUUCUGUCACUCUAGCAACCCAUCAUCUACUUACUACUCCCCAAUGCCUUCCUCUAGGCCCAAAUAAUGGUGAAGUGUUAUGUAGUCGACGUUCACAUAACACCACUAUAGGAAAAACAACAUACAACAUAUCAAAAUAUCGAACGAAUACCAAAUUCACAUGACUAUUAUUAGCAUGACUUAUCCCAUGUCCUCAGAAACAAAAGUAACUACUCACAAAGCAUAAUCGUAAUCAUGAUAAGAGGUGUAAUGAGUAGCAUCAAGGAUCUGAACAUAAACUCUUCCACCAAGUAAUCCAACUAGCAUCAACUACAAAGAGUAAUCAACACUACUAGCAACCUUACAAGUACCAAUCGGAGUCGCGAGACGGAGAUUGGUUACAAGUGAUGAACUAGGGUUUGGAGAUGAGAUGGUGCUGAUGAUGAUGUUGAUGGAGACCGAGUCCCCUCCGAUGAGAGGAGUGUUGGUGAUGGCGAUGACAACCGAUUUCCCCCUCCGGGAGGGAAAGUUUCCCCGACAGGAUCGUCUUGACGGAGCUCUAGAUUGGUUCUGCUCAAGUUCCGCCUCGUGGCGGCGGCGCCUCCUCGAAAAAGCUCCGCCUUGAUUUUUUUCCGGACGAAACCCUUCAUAUAGCAGAAGAGGGGGCCAGUGGGCCACCAGGGUGCCCACAAGCCCUAUAGCCGCGACCAGGGGGCAUGCCGUGACCACCAGGCUUGUGGGCCCGUGGCAGCUCCCCUCUGGCACUUCUUUCGCCCAGUAUUUUUUAUAUAUUCCCAAAAAAUUCCACGUUGAUUUUCAGGGCAUUUGGAGUUGCACAGAAUAGAGGACUCAGACUUGCUCCUUUUCCAGUCCAGAAUUCCAGCUGCCGGUAUUCUCCCUCUUCAAAUAAACCUUGCAAAAUAAGAGAGAAAAGGCAUAAGUAUGGUACCACAAAGUAUAAUAACAGUCCAUAAAGCGAUAAAUAUCAACAUGAAAGCAUGAUGCAAAAUGGACGUAUCAACUCCCCCAAGCUUAGACCUCGCUUGUCCUCAAGCGAAAACCAAGAUCCAUAAACAUGUCCACAUGUUUAGGGAUGAAGGUGUCGAUAAAACAUAAUACGGACAUAAGGGCAUCAUGAUCACACAUAGAACAUCAAUACAUCAUAAAGAUUCUUAUGGGAAAGUAACAAUUCCUUCACAAAGCAAAGUAUGAAUCAAAAACCUUACCGAGAGGUAGCCAACAACAGUCCAUAGUCAUUGAAGCAAUUGCAAUUUAUCAUAACAUCAGAAAGAGUCAAAUAAGAGCUUGUAAAGCAAAUCCACAUACUCAAUCAUCUCUUUUGUUUUCCACAAUUGUUACAACUCACGUGGUACUCAUGGUGUCAAAGUUUCAGCUGGACACAGAGAAAGAUAGGGGCUUAUAAUUUUGCCUCCCAACCAUUUACCUCAAGGGUAAAGUCAACAAUAAUAAAGCAUAAGUACUCAUCUCCAAGUUGAUAUAUGAAUAUAGAUCUUUCCCUAGCAUAUGACGUUCACCAAGAUGAAGACGGAAUAGGGAAUUGGUGUUGAUCACCAUGACUUUCACAAGGACAAAAGUAAAGGUACAAGAUAGGCCCUUCGCAGAGGGAAGCAGAGGUUGUCAUGCGCUUUUAAGGUUUGGAUAUACGACCUCUUAGUAUAAAGGAACGUCACUUUAAAUUGCCCCCUGUGACAAAGAACUUUAUUAUGUAGUCUGUCGCUUUUAUGUCUUCCUCAUCACAGGUUCGUACAAAGCUUAUUUUCCACACACUAAUAAAUCAUACAUACUUUAGGUAGCUAACUUUUUAUUGCUUGCACCGAUGACAACUUACUUUAAGGAUCUUACGCAAUCCAUAGGUAGGUAUGGUGGACUCUCAUGGCAAAACUGGGUUGAAGGUUUAUGGAUGCACAAGUAGUAUUUCUACUUAGUACGGAAGUUUUGGCUAAUAUGAGGUGGAAGCAAUCGUCACAUGCUAAGGGAUCUCUAGACAUAUACCAUUGUUUGGAACCAAGCAAACACAAUUCAUUAUGUUGUCUUCCUUGUCCAACAUCUACUUCUAAGCAUGUAAUAGUUUGGUGAGUGCUCACAAUUAUAGAAAGUGUCUAAGAUGAUAUAUUUAUAUGUGAACCUCUAUUUCCUUAUUCCUUAUUAUUAAUUGCAACAAUGACUGGGGUCUAUGUUGGUCUAUUCUCAACAAGUUUCAAUCAUCAUACUUGUUAUAUGUGAAGCUAUCACUUUCCAUAAGAUCAUCUCAUGAUCUUUCAUGCUAUCGUUCUUUUCAUACUUUUGAUCACGGCACAAAACAAAGCCCUUGACUAAGAUACUCUUUAUUAUAUAGCUCGCAAGCUCGAAUACAUCGGGGGAGACACAAGGCAAAAGACUCAAACUAAACACUAAAGACUUAACCCACUAAGAGAAGAAAGUAAAAACUGAAAAAGAAAGAACUAAAACAAAGGUAAAAGCAAAAGAUAUAAAGGUGAUACGAUACCAGGGCAACUCCCCCAAGCUUGGCACAAGCCAAGGGAGUUUCCCAUACCAAUGCUUAGUUGUCUUACUUUGGUGGUGAUGGUGGUGGAGUCUUUGCAGAGGUCUUGAGCUUGUUUAAUUUCCAAUGGAGCAUGAAAUUUUGCUCCCUCAGAUCGUCGUUUUCUUCUUCAAGCUUCAACACCCUUUGGCAUAAUUCUUGCUUACUCUCCUGCAGGAAACGAGAAGGGAUAAAGAAAGUCUUAUGCUUCUUCCUGGAGUUGGCGAGGCUUGACUUCUUGAACUCCACAUGGGUGUUUGCAGGUUGAGGUAGAGGAGCCUCCUCUUCAUCGGAACUCGUUUGUUCCUUCCCCUUGGGAUCAUAGUCUUCUUCCUCAUCGGUGGUCCAGCCAUAUGGUUCCAAGUCCCCAUAGACCUUGGGGUUAGCAAGGUAAUCAGCCACAUAGCUCUCCCCCUCUGAAUCCUGAGGAGACAUCUCGACCUAGAUCUGCGACAGAAAAUAGGCUCGAAAGGAAAAACAGAGGAAAUCUGCGUGAUACGGGGUCAAAACCCUCGGGCGUAUAUAUAAUGAUUUUUUCUGGACCAGAAGGAGUGCUCCGCAAGAAAGCGGAGUCCGGGAGGCACACGAGGUGCCCACAAGCCCUGUAGCCGCGGUCAGGGGGGGGGGCGCGGCUACCAAGCUUGUGGCCGCCUCGUGCGCUCUCCGGACUACUUUUUAUUUUUCUAUUUUUCCAUAAAUUACAAAACGGAGAAAAAUUCCUACUGGAAAAGUUUUGGAGUCCAAUUACUUACCGAAACACAUACCUCUUUGUUUUUAGAGUCUGAAACAGGCUGAUAAACAUCCCUUAUGUACUCCUCCGGAGUUAUGAUAUUGAUGAUAUUGCUCUCAACAUUUAUGGGAGUACCAGAGAUAUAAUGCUUGAUUCUUUGCCCAUUUACCACUCUAGGAAAUUUACCUUACGUGUUAUUGAUUUUGAUGGCACCGGAACAAUAUACUUCCUCGACAACGUAGGGACCUUCCCAUUUAGAGAGAAGCUUGCCUGCGAAGAAUCUUAAGCGAGAAUUGUAUAGCAGGACAUAAUCACCUACAUUGAACUCACGUUUUUGUAUUCUUUUAUCGUGCCAUCUCUUAACCUUUUCCUUGAACAACUUGGUAUUCUCAUAUGCAUGGGCCCUCCAUUCAUCUAAUGAGCUGAUAUCAAACAACCGCUUCUCACCGGCAAGUUUGAAAUCGAAGUUGAGCUCUUUGAUUGCCCAAUAAGCUUUGUGUUCUAGCUCAAGAGGUAAAUGACAAGCCUCACCGUAAACCAUUUUAUACGGCAACAUGCCCAUGGGAUUCUUAUAAGCAGUCCUAUAAGCCCAUAGUGCAUCGUCAAGUUUGCUAGACCAAUUCUUUCGAGAUCUAUUGACACUCUUUUGUAAGAUCAAUUUGAUCUCCCUAUUACUCAACUCCACUUGACCACUAGACUGAGGAUGAUAAGGAGAUGCAACUUUAUGGUUGACAUCAUACUUAGCGAGCAUCUUGCGGAAAACACCAUGAAUGAAGUGUGAACCGCCAUCAGUCAUCAGAUAUCUAGGGACUCCAAAUCUUGGGAAAAUGACUUCUUUAAGCAUCUUAAUAGAGGUGUGGUGAUCAUCAUUUCUAGUGGGGAUAGCUUCUACCCACUUAGUGACGUAAUCAACAGCAACUAAGAUGUGAGUAUACCCAUUGGAACUCGGGAAGGGUCCCAUAUAAUCAAAGCCCCAGACAUCAAAUGGUUCAAUGACAAGUGAAUAGUUCAUAGGCAUUUCCUGACGUUUACUGAUGUUCCCUAUUCUUUGGCAUUUGUCACAAGACAAGACAAACCUACGGGCAUCCUUGAAGAGAGUGGGCCAAUAGAAACCUGAUCGCAAUACCUAAUGAGCAGUUCUAUCUCCAACAUGGUGUCCUCCGUAGGCUUCGGAAUGACACUUCUGCAGGAUCUGUCCCUGUUCAUGUUCAGGCACACAACGUCUAAUAACACCAUCUACACCUUCCUUAUAAAGGUGAGGAUCAUCCCAAAAGUAGUGUCUCAAAUCAAAGAAGAAUUUCUUCUUUUGCUGGUAGGUGAAACUGGGUGGUAUGUAUUUGGCUACGAUAUAGUUUGCGUAAUCAGCAUACCACGGUGCACUAUGUGAAGUACAGAUGACAUUCAAUUGAUCAUCAGGAAAGCUGUCAUCAAUAGGUCGUGGGUCAUCAAGGACAUUCUCUAGCCUGGACAAGUUAUCUGCUACAGGGUUAUCAGCACCCUUUCGGUCAACAACGUGCAAAUCAAAUUCCUGUAGCAGGAGAACCCAUCUGAUUAGCCUAGGCUUAGCGUCCUUCUUCUCCAUAAGGUACUUAAUAGCAGCAUGAUCAGAAUGAAUAAUGACUUUUGAGUCAACUAUAUAAGAUCUGAACUUUUCACAUGCAAACACGACUGCUAAAAAUUCCUUCUCCGUAGUGGCAUAAUUUCUUUGGGCACUGUCUAGAGUUUUACUAGCAUAGUGAAUAACAUUCAACUUCUUGUCAACUCUUUGUCCUAGAACAGCACCAACAACGUAAUCACUAGCAUCGCACAUGAUUUCAAAGGGCAAGUUCCAAUCAGGUGGUUGAACAAUAGGUGCGGUUAUCAAGGCCUUCUUAAGUAUUUCGAAAGCUUCCUCACAAUCCUCACCAAAAACAAAAGGAACAUCCUUCUGCAAGAGGUUGGUAAGAGGCCUAGAAAUCUUAGAGAAGUCUUUAAUGAACCUUCUAUAGAAACCAGCAUGACCUAGGAAACUUCGUAUACCUCUGGUAUCUUUGGGGCAAGGCAUUUUCUCAAUUGCAUCACCCUUAGCCUUAUCAACUUCAAUGCCUUUCUCAGAAAUUUUGUGUCCUAAGACGAUGCCUUCAUUAACCAUGAAGUGGCACUUCUCCCAGUUCAAGACGAGGUUGGUAUCUUUGCAUCUCUGUAAGACUCGAUCAAGGUUGCUGAGGCAAUCGUCAAAGGAAGAACCGUAAACGGAGAAAUCAUCCAUGAAAACCUCAAUAAUCUUUUCACAAAAGUCAGAGAAUAUUGCCAUCAUACUUCUUUGAAAGGUGGCAGGUGCAUUGCAUAAGCCAAAAGGCAUAAGUCUAUAAGCAAAGGUACCGAAGGGGCAGGUGAAAGUGGUUUUCUCCUGAUUAGAUUGUGCAACAGGUAUUUGCGAGAAACCUGAAUAACCGUCUAGAAAGCAGAAGUGUGUGUGUUUAGAUAGCCUUUCUAGCAUUUGGUCAAUAAACGGCAAAGGAUAAAGGUCUUUCCUGGUUGCCUUGUUCAGUUUCCGGAAGUCUAUCACCAUCAUAUAGCCAGUAAUAAUCCUCUAUGGGAUUAGUUUAUUCUUAUCAUUAGGAACAACGGUGAUACCUCCCUUCUUGGGUACGCAAUGCACUGGACUUACCCAAUCGCCAUGAGCAACAGGAUAAAUGAUUCCUGCUUCCAGAAUCUUUAAUAUUUCUUUUCUCAUGACCUCUUUCAUCCUAGGAUUUAAUCUCCGUUGAUGAUCAGCAACUGGCUUAGAAUCUGGAUCGGUUUUAAUCUUGUGCUGACAUAGAGUGGGACUAAUACCCUUAAGAUCAUCCAGAGUAUAUCCAAUAGCAGCACGGUGCUUCCUUAGAGUUUUUAGUAACUUCUUUUCUUCGUGAUUCGAGAGGUGAGCACUAAUAAUAACAGGAUAUAUCUCCUUCUCAUCAAGAUAGGCAUACUUAAGUGUAUCUGGUAACUGUUUUAGCUCGAGCACAGGAUCACCCUUUGGUGGGGGAGGAUCCCCAAGCAGUUCAACAGGCAGAUUAUUCUUAAGAAUAGGGUAUUGUUCUAAAACAAUUUUAUCUAUCUCAUCUCUUUCAUCCAUAUGCAUAUCAUUUUUAUGCUCAAGUAGAUAUUGCUCUAAAGGAUCCGUAGGAGGCACGACAAUAGAGGCAAGAGCAAUGAUUUCAUCCCUACCAGACGACUCUUUUUUCAUGGGGUUGUCUUCCAAACUUGGAGAAGUUAAAUUCAUGAGACACACCCUCGAAACUAACAGUGACAGUCUCUUUAACGCAAUCAAUAUGAGCAUUGACAGUGUUGAGAAAGGGUCUACCAAAUAUGAUGGGACAAAAGCUAUCUUGUGCAGUAGCAAGGACGAGGAAAUCAGUAGGAUACUUUGUCUUACCACACAGGACUUCUACGUCUCUCACAAUUCCCACAGGGCAGAUAGUGUCUCUAUUAGCUAGCGUAAUAGUGACAUCAAUGGGUUCUAACUCAGCAGGUGCAAUCUCAUCUUUGAUUUCAUCAUAAAGGGACCGGGGUAUUGCACUAACAAUAGCACCCAUAUCACAUAAACCAUGAUAACAGUGAUCUCCUAUCUUGAUAGAAACAACGGGCAGGCCAACUACAUGUCCGUAUUUGUCUUUCGCAUGAUGUUUAGCAAUUCUAGCGGAGUCCUCACAGAAUUUGAUAACAUGCCCGUCUAUGUCUUCGGCUAAGAGUUCUUUGAUAAUAGCAACACCAGGUUCAACUCUAAUUUCCUCUGGGGGUGCAAGUGGUCUAAUGUAACCCCUACGUAUCAUAGUUGGAGCUUUAGAAUAAUCCUUUUUCCUAGCAGGGUAAGGUGGUUUCUCAGUGUAGGCACAAGGAACAAUAGGAUCAUUAUAGGCAAUGACUUUCUCUUCAACUAGAUUGGGUUUAACUAUGUUGACUUCUACAGGAGGAUGAUACUUAAACCACUUCUCUUUGGGAAGAUCAAUAUGAGCAGCAAAAGAUUCACACAGAGAAGCUACUAUCUCAGAGUCAAGUCCAUACUUAGCGCUAAAAUCUCUAGAAGUGUUUGUUUCAACAAAAGAUUUAACGCAAUCAAACUGGAAUUUCAUACCUGACUCCUUACCUUCUUCAAGCUCCCAAUCUUCAGAGUUACGUUUGAUUAUUUCCAAUAAAUUCCACUUGUGGUCAAUAUCCUUCUUCAUAAAAGAACCGGUACAAGAAGUGUCAAGCAUGGUGCGAUCAUCAUGAGAAAGCCGAGCAUAGAAGUUCUGAAUGAUAAUUUCUCUCGAGAGCUCAUGAUUGGGGCAUGAAUAUAGCAUUGAUUUAAGCCUCCCCCAAGCUUGAGCUAUGCUUUCCCUGUCACGAGGCCAAAAGUUAUAAAUAUAAUUCCGAUCACGAUGUACUAAAUGCAUAGGACAGAACUUUUGAUGAAAUUCCAAUUUCAACCGAUUGUAGUCCCAUGAUCCAGUAUCAUCACAUAGCCUAUACCAUGUCAACGCCUUAUCCUUCAAAGAUAAAGGAAAGACUUUCUUCUUUACCUCAUCCUCGGGCAAGCUUGCAAGCUUAAAUAAACCACAAACUUCAUCUACAUAGAUCAGAUGCAAGUCUGGAUGUGAAGAUCCAUCUCGUGUAAAAGGAUUAGCCAGCAGUUUCUCAACCAUACCCGAAGGAAUUUCAUAAAAGAUAUUUUCAGUAGGUACCUCAGGUUGAGGAACAACUCCUCGUGCUUCCGUUCGUGGUGAAGAUACCCCGAACAAACUCCUCAAAGGAACAGUUUCCAUAGUGACAAGUGACAAUAAAUUUUGGCACAGUAUAUAAAUGUUUCCUUACCAAAUUCCACUUACCAAAGGCGCUUCACUCCCCGGUAACGACGCCAGAAAAGAGUCUUGAUGACCCACAAGUAUAGGGGAUCAAUCGUAGUCCUUUCGAUAAGUAAGAGUGUCGAACCCAACAAGGAGCGGAAGGCUCUGAUAAACGGUUUUCAAUAAGGUAAUAACUGUAAGCACUGAAAGUAGCGGUAACAAGUGAUGAUGUAGCGAGGUGAAACGUAGCAAGUGAAAAGUAACAAGUAACAAGUAGUAGCAAUGGUGCAGAAAGUGGCCCACUCCCUUUUGUAGCAAGGGACAAGCCUGAACAAAGUCUUAUAGGAGGAAAAACGCUCCCGAGGACACACAGGAAUUUCUGUCAUGCUAGUUUCAUCAUGUUCAUGUGAUUCGUUCGUUACUUUGAUAGUUUGAUAUGUGGGUGGACCGGCGCUUGGGUACUGCCCUUACUUGGACAAGCAUCCCACUUAUGAUUAACCCCUCUCGCAAGCAUCCGCAACUACGAAAUAAGAAUUAAGACAACGUCUAACCAUAGCAUUAAACUAGUGGAUCCAAGUCAGCCCCUUACGAAGCAACACAUAGACUGGGGUUUAAGCUUCUGUCACUCCAGCAACCCAUCAUCUACUUACUACUCCACAAUGCCUUCCUCUAGGCCCAAAUAUGGUGAAGUGUUAUGUAGUCGAUGUUCACAUAACACCACUAGAGGAAAAGACAACAUACAACAUAUCAAAAUACCAAACGAAUACGAAAUUCACAUGACUAUUAUUAGCAUGACUUAUCCCAUGUCAUCAGGAACAAAAGUAACUACUCACAAAGCAUAAUCAUAAUCAUGAUCAGAGGUGUAAUGAAUAGCAUCAAGGAUGUGAACAUAAACUCUUCCACCAAGUAAUCCAACUAGAAUCAACUACAAAGAGUAAUCAACACUACUAGCAACCUUACAAGUACCAAUCGGAGUCGCGAGACGGAGAUUGGUUACAAGAGAUGAACUAGGGAUUGGAGAGGAGAUGGUGCUGAUGAAGAUGUUGAUGAAGAUGCCUCCCCUCUGACGAGACGAGUGUUGGUGAUGACGAUGACGACGAUUUCCCCCUCCGGGAGGGAAGUUUCCCCAGCAGGAUCGUCCUGUUGGAGCUCUAGAUUGGAUCUGCUCAAGUUCCGCCUCGUGGCGGCGGCAUAACCACGAAAAAGCUCCCGAUUGAUUUUUUCUGGAACGAAACCCUUCAUAUAGCAAAAGAGGGGGGCCAGUGGGCCGUCAGGGAGCCCACAAGCCAUGUAGCCGCCACCAGGGGGGUGGCGGCUACCAGGCUUGUGGGUCCCUGGUAGCUCCCCUCUGGUACUUCUUUCGCCCAGUAUUUUUUAUAUAUUCCCAAAAAAUUCCACGUAAAUUUUCACGGCAUUUGGAGCUGUGCAGAAUAGAGGACUCAGAUUUGCUCCUUUUCUAGUCUAGAAUUCCAGCUGCCUGAAUUCUCCCUCUUCAAAUAAACCUUGCAAAAUAAGAGAUAAAAGGCAUAAAUAUGGUACCACAAAGUAAUAUAAUAGCCCAUAAAGCGAUAAAUAUCAACAUGAAAGCAUGAUGCAAAAUGGACGUAUCACUGACCAAAAGCAAUAUGUCCUUGAUGUUGCGCUAGGUGAUGCACCACCCGCUACGACGACCCAAGAUGUUUUAAACGCUUGGCUAUCCCGUAAGGAUGACUACUCAUUAGUUCAAUGUGCAAUUUUGUAUGGCUUAGAACCGGGACUUCAAAUACUUUUGAACGUCAUGGAGCAUAUGCGAUGUUCCAGGAGUUGAAGUUUAUCGUUUAGAAGAAUGCCUGUAUCGAGAGAUAUGAGACCUCUGAUAAAUUCUAUGCUCGCAAAAUGGAGGAGAACGGGUCUGUGAGUGAACACAUACUCAGAAUGUCUGGGUACUCUCACCAUCUAGCUGAGCUGGGGAUUGAAAUCCCGCAAGAGGCUAUCACUAACAGAGUUCUUCAAUCGUUGUCACCUAGCUAUAAGAGCUUCGUGUUGGACUAUAACAUGCAAGGGGUGAAUAAGUCACUCGCCGAGCUAUUCGUGAUGCUGAAAGUCGCAUAGUCAGAAAUCCAGAAAGAGCAUCAAGUGUUGAUGGUCAAUAAGACCACCAGUUUCAAGAAAAACGACAAAGGAAAGAAGGGUAACUCCAAGAAGAGCGGAAAACCUGUUGCCCCUCCGACGAAGAAACCCAAGGCUGGAUCUAAGCCGGAAAGUGAGUGUUAUUAUCGCAAGGGAACUGGUCACUGGAAGCGAAACUGCCCCAAGUAUCUGGCCGAUAAGAAGGCGUCCAAGGCCAAACAAGGUAUAUUUGAUAUAUAUGUUAUUGAUGUGUACCUCACCAACUCUCGUAGUAGUUCCUGGGUAUUUGAUACCAGUUCUUUUGCUCACAUUUGCAACUCAAAACAGGAACUACAGAAUAAACAAAAGGCUGGCGAAGGAUGAAGUGAAGAUGCGCAUGGGAAAUGGUUCCAAGGUUGAUGCGAUCGCCGUCGUCAUGCUCUCACUUCAAUUACCAUCGGGAUUAGCGAUGAACUUAAAUAAUUGUUAUUUAGUGCAUGUGUUGAGCAUGAACAUUAUAUCUGGAUCUUGUGUAUUGUGAGACGGUUACUCAUUUAAGUCAGAGAAUAAUCAUUGUUUUAUUUAUAUGAGUAAUAUCUUUUAUGGUCAUGCACCCAAUGUGAGGGGUUUGUUCAUAUAGAAUCUCGAUUGUGAUGACACUCAUGUCCAUAACAUUGAGACCAAAAGAUGUGGAGUUAAUAAUGAUAGCGUCACUUUCUUGUGGCACUGCCCCUUAGGUCAUAUUGGUGUAAAGCGCAUGAAGAAACUCCAUGCUCAUGGAAUUUUGGAGUCACUUGAUUUUGAAUCACUUGACACAUGCGAACCAUGUCUCAUGGGCAAGAUGACUAAGACUCCGUUCUCCGGAACAAUGGAGCGUGCAACUGACUUGUUGGAGAUCAUACAUACUGAUGUGUGCGGACCGAUGAGCACAGAAGCGCACGGCAGAUAUUGUUAUUUUCUCACCUUCAUUGAUGAUUUGAGUAGGUAUGGUUAUAUCUACUUGAUGAAGCACAAGUUUGAAACGUUUGAAAAGUUCAAGCAAUUUCAGAGUGAAGUUGAAAAUCAUCGUAACAAGAAGAUCAAGUUCCUACGAUCUCAUCGAGGAGGUGAAUAUCUGAGUUACGAGUUUGGUGCUCACUUAAGACAAUGUGGAAUUGUUUCACAGUUGACACCGCCUGGAACACCACAACGCAAUGGUGUGUCCGAACGUUAUCACCCGUGGCGAUGCUUAAGUCCGUUCGAAUCAUGUUAGCAAUAGCUGCAUUUUUCGAUAAUGAAAUCUCGCAGAUGGAUGUCAAAACAACGAUCCUUAAUGGGUUUAUUAAGGAAGAGUUGUAUAUGAUGCAACCCGAAGGUUUUGUCGAUCCAGACAAUGCUGACAAUAUGUGCAAGCUCCAGUGAUCCAUUUGUGGACUGGUGCAAGCAUCUCGGAGUUGGAAUCGGUGCUUUCAUGAGGUGAUAAAGGUGUUUGGGUUUAUACAAGUUUUUGGAGAAUCUUGUAUUUACAAGAAUGUGAGUGGGAGCUCUAUAGCGUUUCUAAUAUUAUAUGUGGUGACAUAUUGCUGAUUGGAAACAAUGUAGAAUUUUUGGAAAGCGUAAAGGAUUACUUGAAUAAAAGUUUUUUAAUGAAGGACGUGGGAGAAGCUGCUUACAUAUUGGGCAUAAAGAUCUAUAGAAAUAGGUCAAGGCACCUGAUAGCACUUUCACAAAGCACAUACCUUGAUCGUGUGAUUUUGUUGCUAUUGUUUUCUGCAUGUCAAGUAUACAUUCCUAUGACCAUGAGAUCAUGUAACUCACUGACACCGGAAGAAUACCUUGUGUGUAUCAAACGUCGCAACUUUACUAGGUGACUAUAAAGGGGCUCUACAGGUAUCUCCAAAGGUGUCCGUUGAGUUAGCAUGGAUCAAGACUGGGAUUUAUCACUCCGUGUGAUGGAGAGGUAUCUCGGGGCCCACUCGGUAAUACAACAUCACAAACAAGCCUUGCAAGCAAUGUGAGUAAAGAGUUAGCCACGGGAUCUUCUAUUAUGGAACGAGUAAAGAGACUUGCCGGUAACGAGAUUGAAAUAGGUAUGUCAAUACCGACGAUCAAAUCUCGGGCACGUAACAUACUGAAGGACAAAGGGAAUGAUAUACGGGAUUGUGUGAAUCCUUGACAUAGAGGUUCAACCGGUAAGAUCUUCAUAGAAUAUGUAGGAUCCAAUAUGGACGUCCAGGUCCCGCUAUUGGAUAUUGACCGGAGAGUGUCUCGGUCAUGUCUACAUAGUUCUCGAACCCGCAGGGUCUGCACACUUAAGGUUCGGUUACGUUUUCAGUAUAGUUGAAUUAUUGAUGUUCGUAACCGAAUGUUGUUCGGAGUCCCGAAUGAGAUCCCGGACCUCACGAGGGUCUCCGGAAUGGUCCGGAAAUGAAGAUUGAUAUAUAGGAUUUGGCUUCCAGAAAGAUUUCAGGCAUUACCGGUAAAGUACCGAGAGUGAUGAAUGGGUUCUCGGGUUUUACCGGGAGGAGCCACCCACCCGGGAGUGGACCUAAUAGGCCCAUGGGUGGCGCACCAGCCCUUAGUGGGCUGGUGAGGCCAUCCCAAUAAGCGUAUUUCGGCCAAAGCAUAAAUAAGAAGGAAAAGGAAAAAAAGAAGGAAGGAGGUGGACAAGAUGGGAAGGAGUCCUCCGCCAAAAACGAAUUGGAGGAGGACUCCUCCCUCUUGGCUCGGUCGACUCCUCCUACUUGGAGUAGGAGGCAAGCCACCCUCUCUCUUGUUCCUCCUAUAUAUAGUGGAGGUUUGAUAGGCUUUUUGCACCCCCAAACCUUUGUGAAACCGUCUAUCCCUCCACUACUUCGUGACACCCCGUAGCUAGUUCGGUACGGCACGGUGAAGCCCUUCUCGAGUAGCUCCACCAUCAUCAUCGCCAUGCCGUCGUGCUGCCGGAGAAUUCAGCUCCCUCUUCGUCUCUCUUGCUGGAUCAAGAAGGCGGAGAUCGUCAUCGAGCUGUACGUGUGCUAAACGCGGAGGUGCUGUCCGUUCGGCGCUAGAUCGGGACGGAUCGUGGGACGGCGACGAUUUGGAUCACGAAAGCGUUCCACUACAUCAACCACGUUUCUUAACGCUUCCCGCUUAGCGAUCUACAAGGGUAAGUGGAUCCGAUCUCCCUCUCGUAGAUGAUCAUCACCAUGAUAGGUCUUCGUGUGCGUAGGAAACUUUUUGUUUCCCAUGCAAUGUUUCCCAACACUUCGUCGGUAGCACCUUGUCUAGCAGUGGCNNNNNNNNNNNNNNNNNNNNNNNNNNNNNNNNNNNNNNNNNNNNNNNNNNNNNNNNNNNNNNNNNNNNNNNNNNNNNNNNNNNNNNNNNNNNNNNNNNNNNNNNNNNNNNNNNNNNNNNNNNNNNNNNNNNNNNNNNNNNNNNNNNNNNNNNNNNNNNNNNNNNNNNNNNNNNNNNNNNNNNNNNNNNNNNNNNNNNNNNNNNNNNNNNNNNNNNNNNNNNNNNNNNNNNNNNNNNNNNNNNNNNNNNNNNNNNNNNNNNNNNNNNNNNNNNNNNNNNNNNNNNNNNNNNNNNNNNNNNNNNNNNNNNNNNNNNNNNNNNNNNNNNNNNNNNNNNNNNNNNNNNNNNNNNNNNNNNNNNNNNNNNNNNNNNNNNNNNNNNNNNNNNNNNNNNNNNNNNNNNNNNNNNNNNNNNNNNNNNNNNNNNNNNNNNNNNNNNNNNNNNNNNNNNNNNNNNNNNNNNNNACCCAACGGGAAGCAAGUGGACAACAGCACCAUGACAAUAUAAUAAUAGGAGAAAGAUGAAUGGGGUGGGUCAGCGAAUUAAAUAAGCAGGCAGAGGUGGGCGCGUGGCUGUGUGACAAGUAGGCCAGGCCGGCCAUAUGCGGACACAGGUAGGGCGGGCGCGUCCGCUUCAUGUCCGCGCCAACGCAUUUUAGUCCAAAUUUAAGCCAGAAAUGAAUCGACGCGGAUGUAAAUCGAACGCGUUAUGAAAAUGGAUCCGUGCGUUGGGACAUCAUUUUUGUCUGAAUGGAUCCAAACGGACGACGACGAACGAAAUGGAUCGCCAUUGAAGUUGCUGUAAUAGUACCGGACACCUAGAGUGCUCUCGCUGGGUGGCCCAGGCAGGCCUGGCGAGUGGGCGGAAGAUACUGAAACUUGUCAUAGAUCGUGUUGGCUUCACAUAAUUCAGGCAUCGAUCCACAUCGAGGCAAGGGGCAGAUGGUACACCCCGUCCCUCUCGGGCAAGCGUACGGCCUCACCUCCGCCCCCAGCGAGCCAAUAAUGCCGCGCUGGUCGGGCCCGCCUGCCAUGCUAUGCUUGUCCCUCCCGGCCAUUGCCUUGCAGAUAGAUGCACAGACGUUGGCGCGCCAAGCAGAAGCAGGCAUGUAAAUCGCGGGGGCCACCACUAGAUUCCCCCGCUCACUGGAUCAAAGCUGGAGGCGAUUGAGUUGUUGCGCAUAGCUAUCUGCAGAUAUGACGGAUUAAUCAAUCAAUCCAUCCAUCGAUCGGGGGCUCCCAUCUCUUGUCAAACCUGUCGAUCGAUGCGCAUUAUGCUAGCUUUCGGCUAGUAGAAAGGUGACAGCGCCAUACAACACGAUCGACAUGGUAGCAGCACCGAGAGAUUCUCUCCCUCGAGUUAGUACCGCCGGCAAAAGAUGAACGCUUGAAGGGUACUCCCUGUCUAAACAAAUAUAAGAUCCUUCAUAUCACUGCUCUUUGCAGAGAAAGUAUAAGUUGUUCGACUAACUUUUCUGUGAAUAGAAUUGAACGUAUAUAGACACGUUUUACUAUGUUUGUUCACUCAUUUCAUUCAGUAUGUUGUCCAUUCUUUUUAUUUUCUUUUGAAGGAUAUUCGUUUUCGCAUGAACACGCAGAGGCGGAGGACCGCGUUGAUGCAGUCACUUGGAAUUGGUCUGCAUUUAGCCAACGAGUUGAGCAAAUUGUCACGGAAUUUGUCAAAUUCUGCAUAGAUAUAGUGGCCAUUGGCAAAGUUAAAAGGUCGUCGUCUACUCUACAAGGAAGAGAUGCACCCCCUCGACCGGAAGAAAAAUAAAAUGGAAGAGAUGCACUGUGGCAUGCGUCAAUGAAGGUGACAUGAGGCCGUUUUAUAUCCUCCGUCAUUCAGUCCGUCGCCCUUGUUUAAAGUUUUGUCCUCUCGUCGGCUCAAGGGCAAAGCGGAUAUGGUUUUAUAUGGUAAUCGUCGCCGUCUUGCUUGUGUAUGUGUACAUGCCUUCACUUGUGCAUAAAUAUUCCCCACCGAAGGGAAAGCUACAAACAUACACUGAUCGCCGAUGCGCACAACACAAGUGAAAGACACGUAUGUAGCAACCUGUGAACCCUGACGUGUCUAACCUAACAUUUUCCUUGUUUUCAGUUAGUUUUGUAUGUGUAUUUCUGUGGAGAAAGGAGGGUUUCCAGUUACUUUUAUGUAAAGGCCAUCCAGCCCCUCAUUUGCACGACGCAUGAUUGGGUUGCUUCUAUUCUAUGGUUAUGCUUUCAGCUCAGGGUGUAGUGUAUGUAUGUACGCAUGGGCAUCGCAAGAAUGCAUAAUUCCACGAGUGGUAGCGCCAAUAGGCAAGCACAUUGUCACAUGGAGAGCUCGCCAGCUUGUCUGUCCGGCCAGUCCCCUUGUCAAACCGGCUCAUGACUCUGUCUUGCACCAAAACAAAACCUAUAAUUGUAUUCGGCAUCGGGAGCUGCUUCAGACUUUUGAGCCAUAGCCCACACUUUUAUACUGCCCGGCGCUGCUGCUUAUAUGCACAUAUAUAUAUUCUCAUCCCUUGCCUCAUUCCAAGCGCUUUGCUUUGGUUUGGUAGGUCUGCUCGCUCACCGCGCGUACCAGCUUGUCUCUUCUUCUUCUUCCUCCUCGUCGCCUUAAAAGGGCCUCUGCACUUUGCAGUGCCCUUUUCACUUCAGAGCUUCACUGUUCAGAGAGACUUCAAAGACCGUAGGUAGUGAGUGAGAUAGGAGGUAGAGAGAGAUGGGGAGGAAGCUGGGGCUGGACAGGGUGCUGGACUGCUUCUCGCUCGCCGUGUGCGCCAACGCCUGUGUCUGCAUACAAGCCGUUGAAGACGAGGACGAGGAGAACGAGGGGAAGGCCCUGGUGAGCGCUCAGCUGGACGAGCUGCUCAAGCUCAAGGACUUGGGCGGCGGGGCCAAGACCCUUGCUUUCCAUCUGGAGCCAAAGGUAAGGAAAUAACUGACGCCGAUUCUAUCUACUAUCUCUCUGAGAUGCCUCUCCACAACAUGUAAUAUUCACCAUGCCACCCCCGUUGAUGCAGACAGUGGAGCUGAGGGUGUCCAUGCACUGCUAUGGAUGCGCGAGGAAAGUCCAGAAGCACAUCUCCAAGAUGGAAGGUACGAGACAGAUGAGAACUGAACCUUGUGAAUCAUUUUUUCGGGGCUGUGUUGGGAUUCGUUUUUUUUUUUAAAGUUAGUGUUGGGAUUCUUUUGACAGGGCCUAGUAGUGCUAAAAGUGUACAAUCAUGCUGGGGUGCCUGUCGUCAUAAAGUUCCUAUCAUUUCACUCCAGAAAACAGUUGCAGAUUUAUUCAGCUGAUCAGGCUGUAAACUUUGCUGAUUGUUCACGGAGGGACAGCUUGAUGGCUUGUGCUUUCCUUGAUUAUCUCAAAUUCUCAAUGCGACUGCUUGCCAACUUACACGACAUACGGCGGAUUUCUAAUUUUCUCUUCCCUUUCAACGCCACCUCAAUGUGUUGAUAAUUCAGACAUGUCCAAGCGUGCAUUUCUUACUGCUAGUAGUAUUUGAUAGAAAAAAGCAGGGUGUCCAUUUCUUAUUGGUGAGGCGGAGCAUUAGUAUAUCCAGGAUCUCGAAGUAAUCAACGACUGUGAAAUGUGGCGCGGAUCUGUAGACCGGAUAAUUUUUCAAAGUAGAGUAGCGUCGUGGCUACCACAUGGGCGGGGGUGUACUCUCACGGGGAUAGGAGCACAGCGUCUCAGAAGUCCAGAAGCAUUUGGAGCAGAGAUAAGUCGCGGCCUGUCAGACGCGGGAAGGGAAAAACGCCCUGCGGCAGGUUGACCCCGGUGCGUCUCCAAUCAUUUUUUCAAACGAAACCCCAAAUUUCUACUCUGCUCUGCCAUCCUCGUUGCCGGGGUAGCGGAGAACAGUGAACACAGCCACGCUGCCGUGAGCUCCGGAAAGCUCAUGGCUACUACACCAGCACUGUCGUGGCAUGUUACGGAAUAUCGCAGCCGGUGACGAGUGGGCAUCCGUCUCCAUUCGAUCCUGUGCGCCUGAGUUGGCUCCGGUGUCGUUUUGGCCGAUGCAAUGCAUGGACCGGGUUCGCGCUGCCGCUGCCGCUGCGUGCAUGCAUGCUUGGGCACAUCUGCACAUGUUGCUACUCUGCGCAUGUGCAGGGCUGCCUGCCUUUUCUGGAAAAACUUUUGGUGGCAGUGGCAGCACCGCCAGUCGGUGGCCAAGAUUUGGUACUACUGCUGCUGUCCGCCGCGCUGAUAAUUGAGGUCGCCAAGCUGCCAUCACCUUCACCGUACGGCUCACUGUCGGAGCAACGACAGGAGAAGGCGGUGGAGGCAUCUGCAUCGCUAGAUAUUAGUAUUACUACAUCCAAUCUGCCACAAAAACUGUGACAUUUAUUUUGGAUAGGAGAGAGUGAUAGUUUUCUGUUAAAAUGUGCUGAUGCACGAGUCGAGUCCUGCUCCGAUCAUCUCUAACAUUUGCUUCUUUUCUUGUGUGUCUAGGUGUGUCAUCGUUUGAGGUGGAUUUGGAGAACAAGAAGGUGGUCGUGACGGGGGACGUGACGCCCUAUGAGGUGCUGGCGAGCGUCUCCAAGGUGAUGAAGUUUGCGGAGCUGUUGGUGGCACCCAAGUCCCCGCCUCCGAGUAGAUAGAUCAUGAUGAUGAUGAUAAGCUGAUAGGAUGGAUGCGACACAUUUCACUGAUGAAAUCAAAAUAUAUGUCGUGAUUGUCAUCGAUCUCACAAAAGGCACGCGUAUGUAUCAGCAUACGCAACCAUGGCAAUGAAGAAAUUGUGGCAAAUUGUAACUAGGAAAUCAAGGAAGAUGAGGGUGGUCGAGUCUAAUUGGUUGAUCAGACAACUAUCCAUACCUCAUAUGUGCGUACAUACGGGUAGUGUUGAUAUAAAUUGAUGAGUAUGAGGUAUCUCUUAAUGCUUGUACUCUCUCUGUAUCGAAAUACUUGUAGU
rnacentral:lncRNA from 1 species